AUUGAUUUUCAUUCUUUAUAUAACUCGAUUGGUGCAACCCCUACUUUGGAUGGAUGCAUUAUCCUUGUCUGUCUUUUGAACAAAAAGAUGGGAGAAAGACCAACCAAGAAAGGGCCAUUUAGUAAGGAAUGUAUUUGGAAAACUGCUGGCUGGGAGGUGGGGAUGUUUGAAUAUCAAAGCUGGGUUGUACUGAGUUGGGUCUUUGCUUUAUGAUAUUAUUAAAGGAUAAGUCAGGG
rnacentral:lncRNA from 1 species